rnacentral:lncRNA from 1 species
AUUUUUCCAUCUUUCUCAGCAGCCAAAGUUCUGUAAAGUGUCCACGAAACAGCAGCAGAAAAUGAGGAGACAAAGAGGCAAAGGGCUCCACAAAUCCUCUGUGGACCGCUGCGUAAGCUCGGACCGCGCAUCGGGAAAAUGUGGCGUUUAAUUGGAAGCAUGCACACACUGAAUGCUUUUGCCAGCUGGGAAACUGAAACUUUGCAAGUCCUUCCAGUCACUGAAUCCUGGAACCUCUGAUGCUACUGAAAUUGCCAGUGGGGCACAUUUCCACCUUGUGGGGGCAAGAAUCUACUAGUUUCCUGGGGCACCCAGCACCAUUCCUGAC